CCGCUGAGGGAAAUGGCGGCUCGGAGACGCGCCGUGCCGCCGGGCGGUUAUAACGCAGCGCUCCGCGGUGGCUGGUAGGCCCCGGCGGUUGGCGUCAGCCCACGUUCCGGCCGAGCCUGUGCCGGCACCGGUAAUGCUGGGUGGGCAGAGCUGCCCAGCGGGUCUCCUGCCAAUAACCUGCACGGAUCUGAGAUUCUUAAGCAUUUGGAAGAGAAAGUUGGAAAUGGGAAUGCAGCGAUGUGCUCUGUAGGCCGGCGUGCAGAAUGCAGGCUGUGCUGGAGACGGCACGGAGCUGAGUGAAGGGCUCCCAGCAGGAUUUCUUUUCUCCUCCUUUCUGCUAGGCGUGUCCCUUAUUGGAUGCUUCCAAGAACAAGUGAAAUUCCCUAGUUCAGGAGAAAGCUAUCCAGUUGGGAGCUAGUUUUAUGUCACCGUAUUGCAUUUGGCACAUUCUGAGCAGAUCCCAUGGCUGUAGACCUGGAGCAAAAUGAGAGAUGGAAAUUUUGAGUGUUGAGGAAUGCCCCUUGCUUCUCUGGGAUGCUGUGUUCUGUGCAAGCCCCCCCUGGUACACACUGAAAGAAAAUGAAAGCCUUUAGCUGAGGUUGUGAGCUGGAGUGAGACGCUGUAUGCAAGCACAAAAGAGAAGAUAAAAAUUAAUGGAAAGUGUCCUGAGAAAAAUAUAGAAAUGAGUGGCACAGAUGGGCCUCGAAAACCAGUGGAAAAGAUGUUUGUCUGAAAACCUGCAGCAUUCACGUACUGCUGAGGAAGGAGCACAGUUUGGCAGAGCUGCUCCAUGUCAGAAAUGAUCUCCUGAAGCAAAUGUAUGUGACUAAAUACAAGCUUUUUAAAAAUCUGCCAUUCAUCCGUAUUCAGCAGAGGCGCAGUAACAGCGGGCAGCUGGGUUGUGCCCAGCACAUCUCGGUGCGUGUGAUGGGUUCCACAGGGCGUGCAUGGCAUUCCAGAGUGCUCAGGGCAUGGAUCCCAGCACAGGCAGCAGCGAGGGACAUGGGAAGCACUUCAGGCCAACCCAGCGCAGAAGUGUUUGCAGUGUGAAUCAGAAACAUAGCACACAGCACAAGAGAGGUCCAGCAAAAGUUCUAGUGCUGGUGUGAAUCUCACCUGAAAGCAACAGAGCAAACUGGAACUUAUAACUGUCAACAGAGGAAGACAGAAUUUGGUUUCAAGUAAUGAAAACACAAAUCCCUUCCCUGGCUGUUUCCUGGAUUAACGAAGUCCUGUCCUCAAACAAGACACAAAGAGAUCUGAGGAGAUGAGCAUCUACAUGGCAUUGACACGGUCCUGCUCAUGUGUUCAUGGGAAUGUUUCAACGAAUAAGUAUUAACAGAGAAUUCCAGGAGAUCUGAGUGUCUGAGCAUGUUCCUGGGUAUGUUGCUCUUCAGCUCGCCAUACAUUUCUUUGAGCUUCCAGCCUGUGGCGUGCACAGUUCCUACUGACAACAACAGAAUGAUAAAGAUGAAUCCCACACACCAGAACUGACAUUUCAUUCUCUUUUCUGCCCCAGGAUCAGGUCUUAGCACUGAGAAACUCAUGGAGUCUGCAGCAUGUCACAGCAAUUCUAUACUGACAGCGUAUCCGUUGGGACACGCAUCCUCUGUUGUCAGAACACAGCCACAACAGCAGCCAUGUUUUAUUCAGUUCUGUUCUGGGGCUCUGAGAAGUGUGCAGGAAGUUUCUGAGAGCAGUGCCAUAUCCUUCAUAACUGAGGGUGAUGUUGUGUGAUCCAUUACAUGUGUCCUGCUUCCAGAAAUAUCACAAUGAAGAGUUGAGCGAAACUUUUCUCCAGAAUAAGUAGUUCCAUGUGGCAAGCCCUGCUGAGAGUAAAGAAAACUUCAGCACCCUGAGAUCCAUCCGCAUCUCAGAAAUGCUCAACGUGCAGGCCAGGAAACAACUCUGUCACCUUUUUUUUUUUUUUUGCUGCUUAAUAUCAGAGUGUUCUGCUGCUAUUAACUAUCUGCAACAUUUUUAAUAGUACAAUGUAAAACUGAAUUCCUCUCUGAAUGCUACAUUGCACGUAUUGCGGUAUCAAUUAACUUGAUUUUUUUGUUUGUUUCAAGAAAGGAAAUAUCCAUCAUGGGGAAUUUAAAAAAUGUUUGAGCCCAGGAUGAAUCCUGACAGCUUGGUUACCAUCAGCCCCUCAGAGAUGCAGCUUAGUGGAAACACUGACAUAAUCUCUACGAUAGCGGUGGGAAUAGUGCCAGUGAAACAGAGAGUCUCGGGGGCGUAACGUGAGGCAGAAUCACAGUGGUUCCCCACAUCACCACUUCUUUGAAAAUAAACUUGAUAGAAAAUUUGUGCACACCUUUGACUAAGAAGGAAUGAUCUCUUUGCACACUGGUGACUAUUGUUAGUGUAUUACAUUGUUACAUGACAUUUUGCAUGUGGCAAAAGGUGUUGGGGAGAUUAUCCCCUACAGGAAACCAUAGGUGCCACACUGCGCUCGGGGUGCCAUGAGGGGAAAGCCACUGCUUUCCUCUUCUUGUGUGCCCUGCCACACACUGCCAUGACAGUCCCUGCCUGCCCUUGGCUGAGCCGGUGGUGACGAGCUCUCCACAGCUGUUCCAGUGAAAUGGCUUAACGCUGCCUGUGUAUUUCGUUUGUUUGUGAUAAUCUUGCUGAUCUUGCCUGCAAUGGGGAAAGAAGGGUUCAUGUGCACAGCUCUGCAGGCACACCAGCAGGGCAGAGGGAACAGUGAUAAAGGGCGGCUUCUGGGCUGCAGCUGAAGCCAGAAAGUGACAUCUGCCCAGAGCUGCCUUCUGACAGCAAGUGGCACAACGUGACGUUCUGUGUGACAGACUGGGACAUUUCCCACUGUGGUGUGCAGUGCUCCAUUUGUUUUCACAAAAUAUCUGUGAAACAACAACAUUCCCCCCCAAAAAAGUGCCUCACUGAAUUGUUGGAGGAAAUUCUUGCAAAUGAAGAAAAGAGAAGGAAAGAAAGCAACUAUUUGAAAAGACAUAGAUUACUAAAAAAGACCUCAGCUUGACAAUACUUUGCAAUCAGCUUUAUGCUUUGUUGCUCCUAUUACAAAGCUAAGAAUGAUUCAAAUCCAUUUAUAUAAAACUUUAGGGCAUAGAAGGGCAAGAGAAUGGCUCUUCUAUACCUCUUAGAUUAGAUUUGUGCAGUGAAAUGCUGGAAUAUGCCCUGGUGUUUUGUUUGGGUCUGAGGAAUGCAAAGGCAUAAUAAUUACCAGCCAAUACACCAAUUUAAUGCAGUGUUCAGAAUAUUUAACCCUUAAAAUAGAGGCAUCAGAAUUUUUAACAAAAUAAAAGUAGAAAAGAGUUACCAUAUAUGAAAGAAGGUGAAAUUCUUAAAUUCAAGGAUUGUGAAAGUUCUACUGCUCGCACUGAACAAUUAGCUAAGCAUGAUGUUUUGAAAAUAUAGAAGUGAAAUACUAAGAACACAGGGCACAGUUAUUGCUAAAGUCUCACAUUCCAAUUCUAGUGUAUGAGGCAGAUGCCAAAUGCUGUGAAAGUGCAGCAGCUCUGCUGCUGAUUGCUUGUUUCAGACUUGGGUCUGUCUUCUUCCAGAGCAGUGUGGAACUGCUGGCCAAGCAAGCUUCAACCGGGAACGGGAAGGAGAUUCAGGAAGGAUUUUGGCCAAGUCCAAAGCUGACGUGAUAAACUGUAGAUGUUAUGAAUUGGUUUCUGAUUAGAAAGCAUGUAGACGUGACAGAAUGAGAAAUUCACAAGUGUUGAUCCAUCUUGGGCUGCAAAUGAAGCAGGAAGAUUUCUGUGUUCGUGUUAGUAUAUCUUAUAGUUAGUCCUUGAACUACAGCCAAGGGAUGGAAAUGAUUUGGCAUAUGAAGACAUUACAUAUUUUUCAUGAUUUUGUGUUUACACUUCAGAUGAUCUCUUUGGUCAGUCAUGGAAAGGCUCUUGUUCCAUCUUGGACCCAGGAUAUCUUGACUCAGGUGAACACUUUUUCAUCCCACUUUCUUUGAACACUUUCUUACGUUGGGAAUUUUGCUGGGCUCAGCUAUAGAAAGCUGCCAACAAUGGGCCAUGUGCCUGCUUCUGGGAGUGCUGAAGUUUAUCCUCCUUCUGUUCUCCAUGGGGUGUGAGUCGUACAGCUCCUUCCUCAACACAUGCGCAGGAUACUGACAGCUGAGGAGAUUAUAUGUUUUCUUCAAGCAGCUUGAACAAGUCCUUGUUCCUUGCUGGGACUGCAAUCCCAUGAUCCCAGUCAUUGAAUCAUGGGGUCAUAUAACCGUUUGAGAAACAUUUAGCAGUCAUGUAGUCCAACUUCCCUGCAACAAACAGCUCAAUCAGGUACUCAGAGCCCCUCAGAGUCAUACUGACCUUGGGUGUCUCCAAGAACAGCACAGCCAUCACAGCUCUGGGCAACCUUUUCCAGUGUCUCACUGCCCUUAUUGUAAAGAACUUCAUCCUUACAUGCAGUCUAAAUCUCCCCUCUUUUAGUUUCAAACAAUUUCCCUUUGUCCUAUCCCAACACACCAACUAAAGUCUGUCCCCUUCCUU